AGGUUAGUGCAAUGGCAUAAGCCAGCUUGACUGCGAGCGUGACGGCGCGAGCAGGUGCGAAAGCAGGUCAUAGUGAUCCGGUGGUUCUGAAUGGAAGGGCCAUCGCUCAACGGAUAAAAGGUACUCCGGGGAUAACAGGCUGAUACCGCCCAAGAGUUCAUAUCGACGGCGGUGUUUGGCACCUCGAUGUCGGCUCAUCACAUCCUGGGGCUGAAGUAGGUCCCAAGGGUAUGGCUGUUCGCCAUUUAAAGUGGUACGCGAGCUGGGUUUAGAACGUCGUGAGACAGUUCGGUCCCUAUCUGCCGUGGGCGCUGGAGAACUGAGGGGGGCUGCUCCUAGUACGAGAGGACCGGAGUGGACGCAUCACUGGUGUUCGGGUUGUCAUGCCAAUGGCACUGCCCGGUAGCUAAAUGCGGAAGAGAUAAGUGCUGAAAGCAUCUAAGCACGAAACUUGCCCCGA
rnacentral:rRNA from 4 species